UACAGAGGGUGCAAGCGUUGUUCGGAAUUAUUGGGCGUAAAGGGCUCGUAGGCGGCCAACUAAGUCAGACGUGAAAUCCCUCAGCUUAACUGGGGAACUGCGUCUGAUACUGGAUGGCUUGGAUUCGGGAGAGGAAUGCGGAAUUCCAGGUGUAGCGGUGAAAUGCGUAGAUAUCUGGAGGAACACCGGUGGCGAAGGCGGGUCUCUGGGCCGAUACUGACGCUGAGACACGAAAGCGUGGGUAGCAAACAGG
rnacentral:rRNA from 1 species